GGAGAUGACAUGAAUGAGGGACUACAUUGGAAUGAAGAAGAACCCGGAAGAGGUAAAAAAACUGAAGGCUCCGGAUGUCGGACGAUGGAAAAUAAAAACAACAAGCAAGUGAAACUCCCUGACUUAUCAACCUUACUCAAGAAUUCCUUCUUUCUCUAGAUGGGAAUUUCUGCCCUAGAGAGGUCUUGGAAACUUUCUCACCAGAAGAGCACAACUUGAUGGCAGGAAGCUCCUGAUGGAGGCCUGAAAAUGGCCCUGAAAGGGAUGCCAGGGGACCAGGGCUCCACUAUUAUCAGCGUGUGACUUUGGACAAGCGUGUUAAUGGCUCUGUGACUCAGUUACCUCUUCUGUACUUUGCUUAGGGGUCUAUUGCUUUCCAUUUUGUCUUUUUCAUUUGUUAAAUCCAAUGAUGUCACUGACAGUAAAAACUAGUAAAUAGUAAAAAAAAAAAAAAAAAAAAAAGUAAAACCAUGGCUUCUUUUUUGGAGAUGGCAUCCCCAUGCUGCCUAUCUUUUCUUACACUUACUCACAAGUAUUUUUGUUGUACUUAUAACUGAGGAAAUACCUUCCAAGGCAAAAAUGUGUGUGGAUCAGUAGAGAUAGCAGCAGCAGUAGCUGCCAAGUGCCCUGAUGGCCUGGAGUCAGAUGGCUACAUUGCACUCAGUUCUCCCAUCUUCCAUAGAUACUGGAUGUUAUCCUUCAAUGUUUGCCUUGAGCCAGAUGGAGAGGAAAGAGGCAGAGUUAACUUGUCUUUCUACUUUCAUUCUCCCAAAUACAACUGAUUUUUUACUCUACUCCUGGAUACCUUUCUUAUAUCACAACUCUGAUGGUGUAACUUUUCUCAACCAAACUUGCAGGGGACACUCUAUGAUCUCAGAAUGAAACCCCAACUGUGUUGUAUACAUUUAACAUGCAUUCUACUUUCCUUCCUUCCUUACAUUUUAGCUGCCUGGAAUUCCUUGGCUUUCAAUGUGGAAGAAAGUUUGUGGUCCUUGCCCCACCUCCCCUCCCCAAGGUUGCAAGAAGAGGGGGUUAGAAUUGUGGCUUUCUUUAAUUUGAUCCAAUGCUCCUUCCCCUGCAACUUCUGCUUCCAUACAAUUAAUAACUAUUUUCGAAUCAAUGAAAUAACAAUCAUUCUUUAAUGCCUCAGUAUAAACUAUCUUAUUAAAAGUUAUGCAGCCUGGUCCAAAAAUGGCACAGGACAGAGGAUGGGGCCAGAAUCUUUGCCAGGGCACUGCCAAGAAGGGCAUGACCAGUGGAGACACUUGAGUGGAUGGAUGCUGUGUGUCCCAGAAUAUACAUGGAGUUGAGGUACAGGCAUGGCAUUGAAUAUGAGUAGAGCAGUGCAGAAAGAAAGAAAGGAGCAAACUUUAGAAGCCUCACAAGUUUUCCUAGAGUCAUCCCUGUGAGCUUCACAAUCUAUCAGUCCUUAAGGAAUGUUUCUUUUAUGCGGAGCACUGCACACCUAAGACAUUUUUAAUGUUUUGCUCUGCUAAGUGCAGCUAUAAGAAGGAAUUUCCACGUAGAGAAACAGAAGAAUUGGAGAAAAUUCUUAGAAUUGUGCAUAUAAGGCAAUUCCGUUGCAGCAUCAUCUGCUGUGGUCCUUUGAGAAAACUAAGUGUUUAUUUCCAUGAUUUAAAAUCAAGUCAGUCUUUAUCUAGGGUUUGGGAAGGCUUACAUUGGCUCAGGACCAAAAUGAAGAUAGGACUAGAAGUUUCCCAAGAAUGUACGAAUAAAUAUAUGCGUGAGUUUCAAGUUGCACUGGCAACACUUUGGAGAAGUUAGCUCUUCAGAAUCAUGAGGAUUGUUUAAGCUGUCAUCCCAUUGGCUGGCUGUGUGGAAGUUACCCAUUGUGUGGAAGGUGACCCUGACUAGACCUUGUACAGUCCCUUAAGAUAGAUUAGUAGUGAAGUCCUCUAACAUGUUUUCUGAACCUGUCAAUGAAAGAAGAGAGAGAUGCCUACCAGUGCAGAGGAAAGGAGUGGAUAUAUCUUAAGUCUUUGUUAUUUCUGUCAUGCAGAUGACUCAGGUAUAAAAACUAGAAAUUCUUCCUAAUGUGGAUUAAGGAACUCAGGCUUCACAGUAUAAGCC